rnacentral:siRNA from 1 species
CUAAGCGCUAACAUUGUAUUCU